UACGUAGGUGGCAAGCGUUGUCCGGAUUUAUUGGGUUUAAAGGGUGCGUAGGCGGCCUAUUAAGUCAGUGCUGAAAUAUCCCGGCUUAACCGGGAGGGUGGCAUUGAUACUGAUGGGCUUGAGUGGAGUCGAGGUAGGCGGAAUUGACGGUGUAGCGGUGAAAUGCUUAGAUAUCGUCAAGAACACCGAUAGUGUAGACAGUUUACUAGGCUCAAACUGACGCUGAGGCACGAAAGUGUGGGGAUCAAACAGG
rnacentral:rRNA from 1 species